rnacentral:rRNA from 1 species
AUGCUGAAAGCUGGGUACCGAAAGAGAUCUUUCUACGGUGGCCCAGACUACAAAUGUACCAAGUGCGGUGCAGUCUUCUGGUUCGAGGAGAGGGUGAGAUCGGACUCCGCUAUUACACUAAGGCGAGUGGUUUACAACAAAUGUUGCAAGGGUGGUAAGGUGUAUAUUACACCUUUUAAGAAGCCACCCUUGUUUCUCUCUGAGUUGUUGAGAUACAAUGGUUCCUCGCAUAGCAGAGAGUUUAUAAAAAAAUCGUCAGUACAACUACCUUUUUGCAUUUACUUCCAUUGGAACUACUGUUGA